rnacentral:rRNA from 1 species
ACGAACGCUGGCGGCGUGGAUAAGACAUGCAAGUCGAACGGGAGAAUUGCUAGCUUGCUAAUAAUUCUCUAGUGGCGCACGGGUGAGUAACACGUGAGUAACCUGCCUCUUAGUGGGGGAUAGCCCUGGGAAACCGGGAUUAAUACCGCAUACGAUUGAAAGAUCAAAGCAGCAAUGCGCUAGGAGAUGGGCUCGCGGCCUAUUAGUUAGUUGGUGAGGUAACGGCUCACCAAGGCGAUGACGGGUAGCCGGUCUGAGAGGAUGUCCGGCCACACUGGAACUGAGACACGGUCCAGACACCUACGGGUGGCAGCAGUCGAGAAUCAUUCACAAUGGGGGCAACCCUGAUGGUGCGACGCCGCGUGGGGGAAUGAAGGUCUUCGGAUUGUAAACCCCUGUCAUGUGGGAGCAAAUUAAAAAGAUAGUACCACAAGAGGAAGAGACGGCUAACUCUGUGCCAGCAGCCGCGGUAAUACAGAGGUCUCAAGCGUUGUUCGGAAUCACUGGGCGUAAAGCGUGCGUAGGCUGUUUCGUAAGUCGUGUGUGAAAGGCAGGGGCUCAACCCCUGGAUUGCACAUGAUACUGCGAGGCUAGAGUAAUGGAGGGGGAACCGGAAUUCUCGGUGUAGCAGUGAAAUGCGUAGAUAUCGAGAGGAACACUCGUGGCGAAGGCGGGUUCCUGGACAUUAACUGACGCUGAGGCACGAAGGCCAGGGGAGCGAAAGGGAUUAGAUACCCCUGUAGUCCUGGCAGUAAACGGUGCACGCUUGGUGUGCGGGGAAUCGACCCCCUGCGUGCCGGAGCUAACGCGUUAAGCGUGCCGCCUGGGGAGUACGGUCGCAAGAUUAAAACUCAAAGAAAUUGACGGGGACCCGCACAAGCGGUGGAGUAUGUGGCUUAAUUCGAUGCAACGCGAAGAACCUUACCUGGGCUUGACAUGUAAUGAACAACAUGUGAAAGCAUGCGACUCUUCGGAGGCGUUACACAGGUGCUGCAUGGCCGUCGUCAGCUCGUGUCGUGAGAUGUUUGGUUAAGUCCAGCAACGAGCGCAACCCCUGUUGCCAGUUACCAGCACGUCAAGGUGGGGACUCUGGCGAGACUGCCCAGAUCAACUGGGAGGAAGGUGGGGACGACGUCAGGUCAGUAUGGCCCUUAUGCCCAGGGCUGCACACGUACUACAAUGCCCAGUACAGAGGGGGCCGAAGCCGCGAGGCGGAGGAAAUCCUGAAAACUGGGCCCAGUUCGGACUGUAGGCUGCAACCCGCCUACACGAAGCCGGAAUCGCUAGUAAUGGCGCAUCAGCUACGGCGCCGUGAAUACGUUCCCGGGUCUUGUACACACCGCCCGUCACAUCAUGGAAGCCGGUCGCACCCGAAGUAUCUGAAGCCAACCGCAAGGAGGCAGGGUCCUAAGGUGAGACUGGUAACUGGGAUG